UGGUCAAGUUAUUAAGGGUGCAGGGCGGAUGCCUUGGCACUAGGAGCCGAUGAAGGACGUGAUAAGCUGCGAUAAGCUUCGGGGAGUUGCACGUAAACUUUGAUCCGAAGAUUUCCGAAUGAGGAAACUCACUUAGAGUAAUGUCUAAGUAUCAUUAAGUGAAUACAUAGCUUAAUGAGGGGAACUCAGGGAACUGAAACAUCUAAGUACCUGAAGGAAGAGAAAGAAAUUCGAUUCCGUAAGUAGCGGCGAGCGAACGCGGAUUAGCCCAAACCAAUAAAGUUUUCUUUAUUGGGGUUGCGGACAUAUCAUAACGAAGAGGUAUCGUAAUUGAAGAGGUUUGGAAAGACUCACCACAGAAGGUAAUAGUCCUGUAUGUUAAACGAGAAGACUUCAGAUAUGAUCUGAAAAGAACCCCGGGAGGGGAGUGAAAUAGAACCUGAAACCCUGCACUUACAAGCUGUGGAAGCACAUUUCUUGUGUGACCGCGUACUUUUUGUAGAACGGGCCAACGAGUUACGUUAAGUAGCAAGGUUAAGCACUUAAGGUGCGGAGCCGUAGCGAAAGCGAGUUUUAACUGAGCGUUCAGUUACUUGACGUAGACCCGAAACCGGGCGACCUACCCAUGAGCAGGAUGAAGCGAAAGUAAAAUU
rnacentral:rRNA from 1 species